AACGAACGCUGGCGGCAGGCCUAACACAUGCAAGUCGAGCGCCCAGCAAUGGGAGCGGCGGACGGGUGAGUAACACGUGGGAAUAUGCCUUUCGGUUCGGAACAACUCGGGGAAACCCGUGCUAAUUCCGGAUACGCCCUUACGGGGAAAGAUUUAUCGCCGAAAGAUUAGCCCGCGUCCGAUUAGCUAGUUGGUGAGGUAAUGGCUCACCAAGGCACCGAUCGGUAGCUGGUUUGAGAGAACGACCAGCCACACUGGGACUGAGACACGGCCCAGACUCCUACGGGAGGCAGCAGUGGGGAAUCUUGGACAAUGGGGGAAACCCUGAUCCAGCCAUGCCGCGUGAGUGAUGAA
rnacentral:rRNA from 1 species